UUGAUGAUCGCUCCGGUGACCUAGUAGUGAGAGCGUCCGCCUCUGAUGCGAGAGGUCACGGGUUCGAACCCCGGCCUAUUCAUACAAA